rnacentral:lncRNA from 13 species
GGGACAGGGAGCGGGGACACGGCGUGCGCAGGGUUACGGCGUUGUAAAACGUAGUACAGACCUUACUCUUAAUGUAAUCAAGCGAUUUCGCCCCGAUCUAGAGCCUUCUCGCACGCCAGAUUCGCUUUUUAAAAAUAAAAGUAGUUUUUCAGUUCCUCCUGAGGUCCAGUUGUGGGCUCCUCGGUACAAGAAAGACAAGGAGCUACCGGAGAAGGUCCAGCGGAGGCACAAACGGGAUUUGGGGUCCGCAGCAUCUCUUGUGAGGAGAGACUGCGGGAGCUGGGCCUGUUGUGCUUCCCUCUCAGAGCUAAAGGAGAACUAGGUGUGUCCCAGCUUGGACAUCACGGAGAGUGAAAUCAAAGAUCUGUUUGAUUUUCCUGGUGAGUUCAUUUUACAACACCUUAUUUCUAUGCAUCUUCUAUUGCUCAGCCUUGUGGUGGGGUAUGGAUGGUCAUUCCCAGUAAUGAGUUCUAAUGGGCUCAAGGGAAACAGGUGCACUACGGCUUUUAUCCCUUCUGCAGAAUGUCUGUAUUUGAAAUCAGGAGGGAGGCAAAAUUAUUCAAUGUUUGAGAAAUACACUCUCAGUUGGGGUAUACAACCUCUUAUUUUGCCUGUGUUCCUAAACUAUGCCCUUUCUAUAAGUCAGAGAAACCCUGAAGCUUUUGUGGUUUCUUCUGUCAAGUGUUUUACCCUACUGCUUUCUUCAGGUUUCCACUCCAGGCUUAAAAUGCCUCAUGACAGAAGAUUAUAUUGGAAGCUUCAUCUUAUAGGAUGAUCCAAAGCAGCUGGUACAUAAAGAAACUUUUCCAUUUAACAGAUCCUUUCUGCAGAAUUCUGGCUGUACUUUCCCUUAACUGUGUCUUCGACAAACUGAACAGAAGUGGGCAUUGUUUGACUCCCUGGCUGAGUUAUAAAACAGAACCACGGGAAAAAGUAAAGUCUAAGAUUCCCCUGUAUGAAAAGGAGUCUGGGUCAUAUGUGUGCUUCCAGUUCUACCUGUCCUGCUUUGGAAUACCAUGCAACACUUCUCCAAAGACAAAAUGUAUGAGAGGAAAUACCAUCAAGCCAAGAUGUUUUUCCUCCAAUUCAUGUACUCCUACAUGUCCAUUCUUGUGUCUAAGGCCCCAUUUCAGUCACUGGUGCUAG